GAUCAUGGCUCAGAUUGAACGCUGGCGGCAGGCUUAACACAUGCAAGUCGAACGGUAACAUAAAGAAGCUUGCUUCUUUGAUGACGAGUGGCGGACGGGUGAGUAAUGCUUGGGAAUCUAGCUUAUGGAGGGGGAUAACUACGGGAAACUGUAGCUAAUACCGCGUAGUAUCGAAAGAUUAAAGUGUGGGACCUUCGGGCCACAUGCCAUAGGAUGAGCCCGAAGUGGGAUUAGGUAGUUGGUGG
rnacentral:rRNA from 1 species